UACAGAGGUCUCAAGCGUUGUUCGGAUUCAUUGGGCGUAAAGGGUGCGUAGGCGGCCAGAUAAGUCCGGUGUGAAAGUCACAGGCUCAACCUGUGAAUGCCGCUGGAAACUGUCUGGCUAGAGUCCGGGAGGGGCGAGUGGAAUUCCUGGUGUAGCGGUGAAAUGCGCAGAUAUCAGGAGGAACACCAAUGGCGAAGGCAGCUCGCUGGAACGGUACUGACGCUGAUGCGCGAAAGCCAGGGGAGCAAACGGG
rnacentral:rRNA from 1 species